rnacentral:rRNA from 1 species
UACGUAGGGGGCAAGCGUUAUCCGGAUUUACUGGGUGUAAAGGGAGCGUAGACGGCUUUGCAAGCCAGAUGUGAAAGCCCGGGGCUCAACCUCGGGACUGCAUUUGGAACUGUAUGGCUGGAGUGUCGGAGAGGCAGGCGGAAUUCCUAGUGUAGCGGCGAAAUGCGUAGAUAUUAGGAGGAACACCAGUGGCGAAGGCGGCCUGCUGGACGAUGACUGACGUUGAGGCUCGAAAGCGUGGGGAGCAAACGGG